CGGGACGGGUGAGUAACGCGUGGGUAACCUGCCUCAUACAGGGGAGUAACAGUUAGAAAUAGGCUGCUAAUACCGCAUAAGACCACAGUACUGCAUGGUACAGUGGUAAAAACUCCGGUGGUAUGAGAUGGACCCGCGUCUGAUUAGGUAGUUGGUGAGGUAACGGCCCACCAAGCCGACGAUCAGUAGCCGACCUGAGAGGGUGACCGGCCACAUUGGGACUGAGACACGGCCCAG
rnacentral:rRNA from 1 species